GAUAUCAAUGAGCCCCAUAAUGGGAGAUGUUAACCUUAUUGUUUAACGUGCUGCCUGCCAGAUUUAUUUAUUGUAUUCCUAAAUGGCUGACCAGAUCUGCUUCUCUGGAAUCAUAAAUACACUUUUAGAUAAAUGCCUAUUUUUAACAAAAAAACAUCUAUUGAAUGCUAAUGAUGUGCCAGGCCCUAUCUUAGUUCUUUAUCUCAUGGAUUUCUUACAGUAACUCUGUGAGUUAUAUACCACUAUUAUUCCUUUUUUUAACAGAAUGGGAAACCUAGGCAGUAAGGAAUUAGUCCAGUGAUACCCAAUAUUUUAAAUUGUAUGUUUUUGCUGUAAUAAACUGCAACAUGAGUGUAACAACUUGCCUAGGUUCUUUGAGUCUUCUAGUGAGUCAUCAAAUCUGAGAGUGACCCUGGGGACAACCAAUAAAAAGACAGUGACAUAGAGAGAAAUUGUCAUGAGCCUCCAACCAUUCUCUGAGAAGGCAGCAUCAAGGCUGAGGCUAGGUGAUAAGAAUCUAUCUGUGUGGAAAGCUUGGGAGGUUCUUUCCAGGCUGAGGGAUCAGCAUAUUCAAAGGCCCUAAGGUGAGAAUGAACUUGGCAGAUGAAAGGAGCUGGAGCAUAAGCACCUCGGGGAUGGCUGGCUAGAGGGGAGGUCAGGGGCUGCGCAAGGGCAAGACUCUGAGGAUUUGUGGGGCGUGGAGGCAUCAGCAUUUACCCACGUUCAGUGGGAAGCUGUAGAGAAGUUUUAAGCAAGAACUUGGCCUAAUCUGAAAUCAUUAUUUUAACAUUUUAAAAUAAUCCCUGUUGACUAAUGGCAAUGACAUUAAAUACCAGAUUUGGAAGGGAGAAAUUGUUCAAAGUUACCCAUGAGGUUAAGAGAAGCAGCAGAGCCAAGACUCAGACCUCUGGUCUCUUGGCUUAUAGGGUCUCUGCAACUGCCAAUCACCACCCAAGUCCUCAGUGCUGUGUUGGCUGCAAAAGAAUGAGACUGAACAUAUCCCGGGCUGUUGACUCACACAUCUGUUCUAAUAUUUCUCAUGUCUUAUGCUCAUGAAAACACCAGUGUCUGUGACAAAGAUAUCAUUCCCAAAGAUGCCAGUACUGAAGGUGCCGAAAGGGUUCUGCAAAAAUGGAGAAAAUGAUCUAUUUUCAAUUCCAUGCCACAUUUGUUCUCCUAGGUCCCAAAGGGAAAUUGCUUGAGCCUGUAGUCUUACAGAGUCCCCAUUACAAUAACUCCCUUGUGAUCUCCCCUAACCCUCUGCUACCCAGUCUCUCUUUCCCAUCCCUCCUGCAUCAGCCCACAAAUAAAUACCCUUUUGCCAAAAAAUAACAACGAACCAAAAGUCAUUCAUUUCAAAUCGGUCUGUCUUAAAGGGAGAAGCUUUCAACUAUUCCUGCAGUAGAUGGGGGUGCACGCAUGAAUCCAUGAGUCUUCUAUCUGUGGCCAGAAAUAAGAUUUGGAGAUUAAA
rnacentral:lncRNA from 1 species